UAACAAACAAAUAUUUUCAGCUUAAAAUCGAAGUAUAGUUUAAAGCUCAACUUUAAACUCACUCGUGAAAUAUGACUUGGGAGCAGUCCAAAAUGAAAUUGAUUAUCAGGCCUGGUAGGCCCGGGUAAUGCUCCGAGAUAAAUCUGGUGAUUUCUGCGGAUCUAACUUUAUUCUUAUGAAUUGAUGUCAAGCCAAUGAUGAAGAGAGGUAUACAUGGUUCCACACUUCCACUCUUGUCAUUUUGACCCCUAGAACCUAGGUAAAGAGUCUGCAUUUAUCUGUAUGAAAUAUCGAAAAAUUAAGUAGACAUUUUACCUGCAAGUAGUUCAAAUUUUAAACUAUUUCCGUUCCAUAAGAAAAAAACUAUGGGGGUGUUUGGUUGGAGGCUUAUGGGCUUGGUAAAUGGGAAUGGGCUUCCCAUUCCGUAACCUUGUGUUUGGAUUAAAUUUUUAAGACAAGGGAAUGGAAACUCGUAGACCUCUGGCAUGUUAACACAAACCUGGCCUGUACCCCGAAUUACGAAAUUUGAUUCUCAAUCUUCUGCUCACUCGAUAUACAUUUCUCUUUCAUCGUUUCUUCGUUUCUCUCUAUCAUCAUUCUUCCUGUCUUUCAUCUCGCCUCUCACCUCUCUCUCGAUCUCGAUCUCGCCUGCCCCUCUCUCUCUCUCUCUCUCUCUACUCUCCAUUUGCUCGAUAGUCAAGGCUCUUUCCAAGGAUGAUAGAAGAAUGGGUAGUCAAGUACCAAGCUGAUGAAGUCUACUUGUUAGCUUCUCAAAUAAAAAAGAACAAAUUAGAUAACUGGAUUAGAUUAAUCAAGAUUAAAGCAUGUAAACCAAACUAGAUGAAACUGGAAAACAAUUUGAAGAUCAUAUUGUAAACCCCGUAAUUAAACCUUCCAUAUUGCUACAUAGUCACUCUCUUUUAGCUAUCAAAUUCUCUUACUGGACUUGAGACUCACAAAUAUAAGCAAAUUCUAUAGUGCUGAUGUUAUAUGAAUUGAAGUAUGGUUGAUUACCGGUUGGUCAUUA